UGGGGAAUAUUGGACAAUGGGCGAAAGCCUGAUCCAGCCAUGCCGCGUGUGUGAAGAAGGUCUUCGGAUUGUAAAGCACUUUAAGUUGGGAGGAUGGGCAUUAACCUAAUACGUUAGUGUUUUGACGUUACCGACAGAAUAAGCACCGGCUAACUCUGUGCCAGCAGCCGCGGUAAUACAGAGGGUGCAAGCGUUAAUCGGAAUUACUGGGCGUAAAGCGCGCGUAGGUGGUUUGUUAAGUUGGAUGUGAAAUCCCCGGGCUCAACCUGGGAACUGCAUUCAAAACUGACUGACUAGAGUAUGGUAGAGGGUGGUGGAAUUUCCUGUGUAGCGGUGAAAUGCGUAGAUAUAGGAAGGAACACCAGUGGCGAAGGCGACCACCUGGACUAAUACUGACACUGAGGUGCGAAAGCGUGGGGAGCAAACA
rnacentral:rRNA from 1 species